CCAGACACUGAAGAAGGAAGAUGUGACCUGCCCUACCAAAAAAGGAGUUCAUGAUUCCCUGCAUCCUGGUGAAGAGGACCACAUAGAAGGUCCUGGCCAUCUACAAGGACGUCCUGCACUGUUCCCGUGCUCCUCUGCGGUUUGAAGUAGAGUGCAGGGGAGGAGGCCAAGGCCACAUGGUGAAGGUGAGCCAGCUUAACACCCACAAGCUUGGUACCUCUGCCACAGAAUCCCACAGUCAUCUGAGGAGGACUGAGCAGGAGACCAAGGCCGAUCUCACACAGGAAAGAGAAUUUGGAUGUCCAGGCUGUUUCUUAGAAUGGAUACCAGAUCAGGAGAACCAGGGUGGCAGAAACAACUCAAAAUCAACUCAGCAUUCAACCUGACAAAGGAUGGACGUGGUCCUGGGAUGCCAUGGGAUG